ACCAGUCGCCCAAUAAUUCUUCUACCUUGCAAUCUGACAAUAAAAGCUUCUGGCAAAAUAGUUUGUUCCUAACACUGCUCCUCUAUUAAAGAGGGUGUUAGUCCUGUCAAACUGCUGUCCAUGCCCCAGUGGGAACUCGAAAGUUUCCUCUCCUUCUGCCUUGAAGACUCCAGAAGAACUCCUUUAAUUUGUAUGGUAUGGGGAGGAGAGAUGGAGGAGAGGGAGGAAACACGCUGAACUUGUUCCUAUCCUUUUUCCUUGCCUAUGCACCUCAGGCAGGUGGCUGAGGACACUCACACCACCUGUUCAAAUCUUGCCCAAGGAGCAGGCUGGCAAAGGCUCAGGGGUCAGCCUGUGUGUUGGUCACAGCCAGCACAGCACCAUUGUCCCUGUCAGGCAGAGGACCUUACCUCGGCUCCAGGAACAAUCCACACAGAGAAGGCAGCAGUUCUCCACAUCUGCCAAGGAGGGUGAAGGAACUUGAAACACUGGUCCACUGGAAACUAGGCCACAUUGAUUUCAUCAUCUAAAACCUGUCACUUGCUAACUUGCAAUAGCCAACAAUGGACAGUCGUUUCUCAACACAGCUUCUAGAAAAGUGCUCUUGAAAACCACACCUUUCCUCUGAAAUUACAUCAAUGAACUUUGUUUAAAAGUAGCUGUUCUUUGGACCUCCACAAUGUCACUGUCUUGCAACGAGCAAAAAAUUUUGAUGUGUCCCAGUGACAGCAGCCAUACUGAAAAGCUGACAUUGGUGCCUACUCUGCAGAAAGUUCUCCAGUCUAGACUGAUUCUAUGACAUGCCACCAGCUGCAGACGCAUUAUAAUCCAAUUUUAGUUCACACUGGAUAGCAUUUCUAAUCCCCCAGGUUUACCUCAUCAUGAUCCCAGGUGAUCAGCAAAGAGGAUGGGUACCAUUUCAGGAAGAAUGGAAAUCUAUCCACAGGCUAGGGUUCUAACAUGACUUCUCACACUUGGGCUAUUUUGUACAUAAAUUAUUGAUGCCCAAGCCUGUGAAGCUUUAUGCCAUCAAGGCAGUGAACAAUGUUUCCACAUGCUAAUAAAAAUACGUUAGGAAAUUCAGUGAGGAUGAUUGGCCUUCAGCUGAAAACAGAGAAGCUGGUGUUAAAUGAAAUUGUCAAUGACUCAUCUUAAAAUUUUCUGGGUGUUAAGACAAUGCAAACUGGAGGCAGCAUAGACUCAUUUUUAAUUCACUAUGUGAAAGAAAAACUAUGAUAGCAGAGUAGGAAGAAGAGAUGGAAAGUUAAGGAACCUACACAAGUCUUUGCUCCCAUUAUAUAUAGUGUGAUUCUCACAGCCAUGUGAUAGGGCGGGGUCUACCGAGUCCUUAUUGCUUUCAGAACAUGCUCAGACUUCGAGCGGAUGUCCAUGAACCUGGCACUGAAUAAGCAUCACUUCUGAGAGCAGUUUGGUGCAGAUGAUUCAUACUCUUGCUCUACAGCAAGACAGCAGGAUCAAAGUCUUCAUAACUCACUCAGUCCUCGAGUGACUCUGCCAGUUCCUGGCCUCGAAUGUUUUUCAUUAUCUCAUCAUCCACCGAGGAUUGCAGUGUCUUACAGAGCAAAGUAGAUUUAAUUUAAGUAGAAGCUUGGGUUGUGCUUAUAUUAUACGGUUUUUUAAAAUUAUUUUUACACCAAGAUGGUUUUGCAAACAGUCUCUUGUGGUGUAAAAUGAAAGACAAGUUCACUGCCAUGUACCUACCAUCAGCUGUCUGCUGAGAUGCUGAAUUAUAUUACAGAGUAAGACUUUCAAAGGCUUUCUAAGUCACUGAGUCACCAACCAGCCUUGCUACACAGUAUGUUAUAAGCUUUUGGUCCAGUACAAUAGAAAAAGAUUUGACAUAGUUUCAAGCAAUGUUAUCAGCACCAGUGAUAGCACAGUGACAGUGACAGACAACAGGAGGAUGGGUCAUGGAGAAAUUCAGAUAAAAAAUUAGAAAGUAUACACUGCAACUAGACCUGCUACACUCUAGGGUUUCAGUGAAAGGUUGACAUCUUCAGUACUAAUAUGGUGAAGUAUUCCUACAGAAUGGAUUCAGAGAAGGAUGACAACGAUUUACAUGCCUUUUUGCUGUACAGAAUGGUCACCCUUCAGAUACAGCCAUGAACUCUCAAUUCAAUUUUGCUUAUCUUGAAAGAUUUGUUUAACAAUAAUAUUCCAGUUCCAAAGUACUUUGCAUGAACAGAUUCCUAUGACAAGUCUGGAGUCCUAUUGAUAUGACUCUCUCCUCUGGAUUUCACUGGAAGUUUGCAUUUGUACAGGUGUUUGCUUAUACAGGACUAAUGGUUUGGAGGGAUUUUGGAUUUUUUAACCUGUAUAUAAUAAAUACCAGAGUGAUAGAUAAUAUUUUUUUCAUGUGCAUGUAAUGUCAUGUCUCUCUAGUUAAUAAGUGUUAUUGUAAUUUGUACCAAAUGCCUGUUUACCCUGGAAUAUGUGAUAAUCUUGAAGAAUUAAUACUUGUAUUCUUUUGGGAGUGUAGGGUUACUUUGCUCUGGCUGGUGUGUAUUUCUUUGACUAGAUAGGCAAGAGGAAAGAACAAGCUGUUUGGCACCAUAAAUCAACUCUCCCAAUAA